CCGGGAGGGAGCAACAGGUGAAUCACUGCCCCUCAAACUGGAGCUCUACUUUCAUUUCGGAAGAAGAGAAACUCGACGUAUUUGUAUUUCUAGUGAAUCACCUCCCUGCUCGGUUGUGCUGAUGUGGUCGCAGUCUCAAAAACAAAAGCUUUAUGCUUUGACUGGACCAGGGGAGGAGGGAGGUGGGCACUGAGGAGGGGCAGCAGGUGAGACUGGGCACAAACCUAACCCCGUGACCAGCCUCGUUCAACCCCGGACUCUCCCUCCUCCCCUUCUCGUACACCCUCCUGCACUCAAACAGGCGGCGACGGGCGUUCCUUCCCUCCUCGGCUUCACACCAUGAACUCGUUGCUGCCGUACAGAACCAGCUGCUGUGGCCCCGAGCUGAAGUCUGACUCCCUCCGGUGGCUUCCCGAGGGUUCGCGUGGUGAGCUGCGGCUUAGCCUGAGCCUGUGGCGAGUCUUACCAGCUUUUUGGCUCCCCUCUGCCUCAGCCAACGGGGCACCCAACCCACAGGAGGUGAGGAGGGGCCCGGAGGAGGAGGAGCGGAACCGGUAGUGUGGGGAGGGAGAGCCAGAGGCGUUGGAGGAGAGAGAGGAAGAGGGGUGGUAGGAGGAGGAGAUGGUGGAGGUGGAAUCCGCAGAGUCUUGGGAGUCGGGCUGGCGGCGCAAACCUCGCCUUCCCUUUGCAUCCGACUUUCUAGAGCGAUAAGUGCCACGGUCUGCAGAGAAAGACAGCAGCAGUGGCAGAGAGGUGUUACAAACACAUUGUAUAGCGCUUAAUCCUACUCCAGCAAUGUUACUGAUUAAAAACACAUUAUAACCAUGUUGGCAAAUAUACUGUUUAGACACAUUUACAACAUUUAAAAGUACAAAUGUCACCAACAAGAGUUGAAGACAGAUUCAGAACUCAGAAAAAGCUUUGUGGGACAGAUGCUUUGGCACCUUUCAAACUACCUUCUAAAAGGUGUCACUAUGUCAGUAUGCGGUUUGACUUACUGGGGCUUUCCUUUCAACAGAAGCAGGUAAAGUGAAACUUGAACUUAUAUUUAUGUCUCAUAUUAAAGCAAAAGGAAGACAGCAGCAGUUUUAAUAUAGAGCAGAUCUAAAGCAUACUCUUUAUACUCCAAUAAUGUUAAUGUGGCAACCAUGGACUGCAACGUCCCGGGUUGCCAGGAAGGGACCAUUGUUGCAUGUUGUUCCCCAUUUCUCUCUCCGCUCAUUUCCUGUUUUCUGACUGCUGUUAGUUCUCUAACAUAUGCAUGAAAAUCCUUCCCAAAAUAAAAAAAAAAACACAAACACAA